AGCUUUUUAAGAAAAGGAUCCAAUUUGGGAAGGAGGAACAGUGCUUCCAUGGCCACACAGAGCCCCAGCCAGACAACCUAGGACCACAGAGGAAAAAUUGCCUUGUUAAAGAGUCGUAAACUUUGAGUGACCCCACAUAUGCGAGGCUGGCAUUGGACCUGACUGAAGACUCUUUCCUGACCAAGGAGCAUGAGGAUUUGCAUUAACUAAUCCUGAACAGACCAAUGGAGACCUCCUGCCUGUCCAGAGGGAUAGUUCUCGAGCCUUAAUGGGCUCAUCUGCCAUGAAAUCCCCUUCCUGACUUCCACCCAUCUAACAUCUCAGUGGGAUUCUUCACAGGUAUGUUCUUAAAAGUGGCAAAUAAAUACAACCAGCUUUAAAAAUUUCCUCCUGGCUCGGGUUGAUUUUGCAGUACUUUUGAAACCUAGAAUCAGGCUAUUAAUUGAAUUUAGGGUAAAUAGGUCUGAAAAUAUACGUACAAGAAUGAAGCUGAAGUUCUCUGUAGUCAAGGUUUGAUCCAGCAUUAACUCUGUCAAUUAAAAAAAUGUCAUCAAUGGCUUUUUUUCAUUAUUUCUUAGAACAAUUGUCCUAGCUCAGAUCAUUUUAGCAGAACAAAGUCAGAAACUGAAUUUUUUACCCUUCUUUUCCCUCCUUUGAUUUUCUGUGCUCAUGGCUAGCACACCAGUGGCUUGCAGAUGAGGUUUGUGUUUGUUUGUUGUUAUAGUUGGAGCUUUUAAAAAAAUUCCUUGCCAAAACCUUUGUUUUAUCCUCUGCUGCAGAGAGUACAUAUCAUGAAUGUAUCCAACUGAGCUCAAUUAUAUCAAACAAAACAAACAGAACUUGCGAAGUGCUGCUCUCUGCGCCUGCUUCCCCAAGAAAGGCAAUAAAUUGGAGUGGUCUUUUCAUGGACACCACGUGGCUGUCAUGGGGGCCGUGAUACAACAUGGGAAGGCAAGGACUGAAGUUACAUGGUCCUAACAAAUGGGUAAUCCGUCCCCAACCUGAAUUGGGUGAACACUACACCCAUCAGUGUUUCCAUCUCAUUUAAUGCCCGUAAGAAUGAAUUCACUGGAAUUCAGUGGCCGUAGGCUCAGAACAUUUGCAGUGUGUUUGUGCUGGGCUCUAAGACUGAUCACUUCAGCUUUUUAAUGCACUUGCUAUUAAAGGACAUUAACCCAAGGAUACAGAAAGUAGAGGAAGAUGCUCAGAAUUGCAUCACAAAUUAAAUUAUUUUCAAAUUUCUUUCCACUCCGAGCUCACAUGCUAAUUUUAUACAGCCAUCAUCAAUGCUUUUAUAUGGUUAUGUUAACCAUGUAUUUGGUAAUGAUAUUUAGUGGGUACAUAAUGUUACAUCAGGUCGAUUAAGCAGUUUCCUUAAACAUUCUGUUAUUCCUGGUCGUGCAAAGUGAAGCUGUUUUUACUGAAACAAAUGACUAAAAUUAACCUGUUGUUUAAUAGCAAUGCAAAUGGAUUUUUCUCCAUUGCCAUUUAUUUUAGAACAAAUUUCGUAUAGUGGUCAAACACUAUGUACUUUUCUGAUGACUCCUUAUGAAUUUUCAAAUACAGAUAUUUUUCUCAAUGAUGUGAGGAUCAUUUAUAAACAUCACAUCUCUUUUUCCAUAAAUAAAGUCAGUGGCUAUUUCCUAAAUAUGGCUGUUUUCUUAUGCAGUCACAAUAUAUAUAUGAAAAUCAGGAUGCCUAACACCGAUACACUACUCAUAUAUACCACAGGUCAUGUUAAGAUGUUACCAACCGUCCUAAUAAUGUCCUUCAUAAUAAUAUUUGUCUGGACCAAGUCAAGUCCAGAAUCACAUUCAGUUGUUGAGUACCUUGAUUCGCCUUUCGUAUGAAACCGUUUUCAGCCUUUCUUUGGCCUUUCGUGACCUUUAGAUUCUUGAAGGACACGGGCCAGUUAUUUUGCAGAAUGGCCUUCAACUUGCAUUUGCCUGAUGUUUCCUUGUGACUAGAUCCAGAUCACGCAUUCUUAGUAGGAACACCACAGACUCGGUGUUGUGUCUUCCCAGAGCAUUAUUUGAGAAGACACAGGCUGUCAGCUUGUCCAUUUGCUGGUGAUACUAAGUUGAUCAUAUCAUUAGAUGGUGUCAACCAGUUUUCUUCCCUAUAAAAUUACUAUUGUUUCUUUUGUGAUUAAUAAGUAACUGGAGAGAGAUGCUUUGAGAUUAUGUAAAUAUUCUGUUCAUUAAAAUUUUAUCCAUUUUAUCCAUCUCUUAAUAAUACUUGCCUGCAUCAGUCAUGACUGAUGGUGGCAAAAAAGUGAUUUUAUAAUAAAAUUAUAAAAAUCGUUUCUGUAUUUAUUAGUUUUCUGCUCUACAUGACCGUUUUCUCUUUCCCAACAUUCAUUUAUUUACAUCAGUCUAGACUCAUAUUUGCUUCUUUAAUUCAGUUUUUAUGCUCAGAUUGUUCCAGAUUGUGCCUGCAGGGAACCCCUCCAGACUGUCUCCUGACGUGUCCCCAUAUUAAACACUGAUUUACUUUUUGGCACAAGAUGUUCUACGCUUAUCUUGAAGUUUCUCUACUUCUCCAAGAAUCCUUGAUUUCUGUAGUGGGUACUGACAUAUAGAAAUGAAGGUCUGGGGCGCCUGGGUGGCUCAGUCAAUUAAGUGCCUGACUCUUGAUUUCGGCUCAGGUCAUGAUCUCACGGUUGAUGAGUUCAAGCCCUACAUUGGGCUCUGCACUGACAGUGUGGAGCUUACCUGGGAUUCUCUCUCUCUCUCCCACCCCUAAAUCCUGCUCACAUACUCUCUCAACAAAAAAAAAAAUUCAAGGUCUGCAUGCUUGGACAGAAUAGUGAAAAUUUGUGGCAUCUGACCCACUCCCUCCCACAUGCCCCUAGCUCAUUGUGGCAAAAGCACUCCUCUGUGUGGGGCAACUAGAAAUAUAGGCUUCCCUCUUCCUGUAGCUCACAGGCUAGGACUCUAGUUCUUUGCCAAAGGAGUAAAUCACUAGCAUUUCUAAUUUCCUUUAGCUCCUGAUGGCAGAAGCAAUUUCCCCAGAAGGCAUAGCCGAAAGCACCAGGCUCCCUUUUCCCCACAUAGGAUGGGAGCUCCACUCCGGGUUGUAGCAAGCCAAGAAUGGCCCUAAUUAUCUUUGCCUCAGCUUUGUUCUUAAGGUGUAAGUUUCAUGCUGGAGGGAGAAGCCAAGCCAAUUAGGUAACACUAGUCACCCAGCACAUGCUUUUAGAGCAAGAUGUCACCACCACAGAAGAAGGGGGCCACUGUCCUUAUCCCCAGCUCCUGUACAAUGUCCUAGAAGUUCUUACAGAAGCUCCCGUAGGAUGCCCCAGAAGGACAGGCUCUGUAGAAGAGGGACUCUUCUGUUCUACGAGGGGACUUCGGGAAAGAAUAUGGAGGUGUCCAUACUCAAAUACAUUGACAAAGCAACAGAGAUCUUAGUGGAGUGUUUAAGAGGGAGCCCAUAGCUUCAUGAUAAUGGGAGCCAACAGCACAAUGGUAGGCCAGUUAGAAGUUGAGCACAAUCAAGGAAAGACAUAGCCAUUAAGAGCCAUUCUGGUUUCACAUCCAACUUUGAGGGUUGAGAAGUCUCUGCACAGGUGCUAGGCUGAACCCAUUCAGGAGAAACUAGAACUCUGUGUGACACAGAUGUAAAAAUGGUCCCCAAGUCACACAUCCAUCAACAAAGGGCAGAAGCCUCACUGUCACUAGAGGAUCAAGGACAAGCUCUAACCAAACAUUGGGUGAUCUAUAAGCAACUCAGAAACUGGGCUCCUUAGAAAACUGGGCUCAAAAAUACAAUCACAACCAUCCCUGGCGCUCUGGAAUAGUGCAUGCAUGCCCAGGACUGUGCCCUUCCAGAAGUGAUUGGGAAGGGAUUUCCAAACUCCUAAUCUCUGACUGAACAUGGGGCAAAGAUCUAAACUUGAACUGUAGUAGGGGCCUCUAAGCCAGAUGCACAGAAAAUGGUAAAGGCUAAAAUCUGGUUGGCCAAGAGGGCGUAAGCACAGAUGAUGAACAAAAUGUGGCUUCUGCUGAUCCAGGGGUAAUGUGCAGGCAGAAUUUGACAAAAUCCAGUACUUUUCAGGCUAAAAUAUAAUUUAAAAGUCCGAGCACAGCUAUUACACAUUAUAGAUACAUUAGACAUCAAAGAUGUUAAAAGGACAAAAGUCAUGUUUAAAGAAUUAAAGGAAGAUAUGACAAUGUCUCAAGAAGACAGAACUUAUUAAAGAGAAAUAAAUGGAAAGUCUGGAGUUGAAAAGUAUAACACAACAAUUCACUAAAGGAGGGGCACUGGGGUGGCUCAGUGGGUUAAAUGUCUGACUCUUGAUUUCAUCUCAGGUCAUGAUCUUGUGGUUCAUGGGAUUGAGCCCUGCAUUAAGCUCGGACAGCCGACAGCACAGAGCCUGCUUGGGAUAAUCUCUCUCCCUCUCUGCCCCUACCCCACUCGCUCUCUUUCAGAAAAAACAACUUACAAAGUCUCACUAGAGGAGGGGCACUUAGUUAAGUGUCCAACUUCGGCUCAGAUCAUGAACUCACAGUUUGUGAGUUUGAGCCCUGCAUUGGGCUCUGUGCUGACAGUUCAGAG